rnacentral:rRNA from 1 species
UACGUAGGCAGCGAGCGUUGUUCGGAGUUACUGGGCGUAAAGAGUGCGUAGGCGGUUUUCUAAGUUUGGUGUGAAAUCUCCCGGCUUAACUGGGAGGGUGCGCCGAAAACUGGAAGGCUUGAGUAUGGGAGAGGUAAGCGGAAUUCCUGGUGUAGCGGUGAAAUGCGUAGAUAUCAGGAGGAACACCUGCGGUGUAGACGGCUUCCUGGACCAUAACUGACGCUGAGGCACGAAAGCGUGGGUAGCAAACAGG